rnacentral:rRNA from 1 species
GACGAACGCUGGCGGCGUGCUUAACACAUGCAAGUCGAACGAGAGGAGAAGGAAGCUUGCUUCUUUCAAAUCUAGUGGCAAACGGGUGAGUAACACGUAAACAACCUGCCUUCAGGAUGGGGACAACAGACGGAAACGACUGCUAAUACCGAAUACGUUCCUUAGGUCGCAUGACUUUAGGAAGAAAGGGUGGCCUCUACUUGUAAGCUAUCGCCUGAAGAGGGGUUUGCGUCUGAUUAGGUAGUUGGUGAGGUAACGGCCCACCAAGUCGACGAUCAGUAGCCGGUCUGAGAGGAUGAACGGCCACACUGGAACUGAGACACGGUCCAGACUCCUACGGAGGCAGCAGUGGGGAAUCUUCCGCAAUGGGCGAAAGUCUGACGGAGCAACGCCGCGUGAACGAUGACGGCC